UACGUAGGGCGCAAGCGUUGUCCGGAAUUAUUGGGCGUAAAGAGCUCGUAGGCGGUUUGUCGCGUCUGUCGUGAAAGCCCACGGCUUAACCGUGGGUCUGCGGUGGAUACGGGCAGACUAGAGGCAGGUAGGGGAGAAUGGAAUUCCCGGUGUAGCGGUGAAAUGCGCAGAUAUCGGGAGGAACACCGGUGGCGAAGGCGGGUCUCUGGGCCGUAACUGACGCUGAGGAGCGAAGGCCAGGGGAGCAAACGGG
rnacentral:rRNA from 1 species